AUGGAAGGCGGAGGAUUGACGGAGGAGGCCAGGUUACUCGCUAGGUCCCACAGGUCCUUAGGGCUUAGCGCCCACGCUCGCCAGCUCCACGCUCCGGGGCGCCCCCGCCCCCCACCGCCCCCCACCGCCCGCGUCCCGUCAGCGGAGGCAGCGGGCAGAGGACCCCAGAGGACCCGUGUGUCAGCAUCGGCAAUGCUCAGUCUCCUCGAGGGCCUGACUCAGAAGCAGCAUUCCUGGGUUGUCGGCGCCCCCGGCUUCCUCGGCCUAGCCUGCCCCUUGCACUCGCCAAGCUGUGUGGUCUCGGGCCAGUUGCCUAACCUCUCUGCCUCCACCGCUUCUUCCGUAGGUAAACUCUGCAAGUUGGACGCGAAGAGAGCACUGAGCGCAAGUCUGGCCCAGACCAGAAGCCUUGGCUACGGUAUAGCGCACGCGGCUCACUCGUUUCGGUGUCGCAGGCACGACGUCUCCACUGGUACCUCGUGGCACCUAGGACCCACAUCCGGGACCACUCAAACCCCAAGGAAGAGACUUUACAAAGCCGCACGAGAGCCUAGCGGCUAGUGCCGCCCGUGCCACGGUGGGAGAAGCGGGGGAGCGAGACGUGGCCGGAGCGGGAGCCGAGUCACCGUGAGUGUAAGGUGGACGUGGUCGGGAGGGCGUGCGCGGGGGCGUGCAUGGCGGCAUCGCUUCUCGGCCUUUUGGCUAAGAUCAAGUGUAGUAUCUGUUCUUAUCAGUUUAAUAUCUGAUACGUCCUCUAUCCGAGGACAAUAUAUUAAAUGGAUUUUUGGAGCAGGGAGAUGGAAUAGGAGCUUGCUCCGUCCACUCCGCGCAUCGACCUGGUAUUGCAGUACCUCCAGGAACGGUGCACCCCCUCGGGGGAAACACUUGGUGACUAAAAGCAGAUCUUAGUUACUUGUGGAUAGUUGUAGAGCGACGUUUUGCUUGUCUUCGCGAGAGUCGUGUAGGCAAGAUAGGAGAACUAGUCUUCGUGCUAACUGCUGAGCUACUCAAGCGUCCCCAGUCUCUAAGAUCUUGAGGUACUUUGGCCGGCAGCCAGUUGUGGGACUUGUGAUCUCCUUUUUUUCCUUCUAGGUAAACCCAGGAGGAGUUUUGCUUUUCCGUGACCUGAUGGCUUGAGGGACCAACGGACAGGAUCUCCUCUCUCAUCCGGUUUAAGUAGUUGGCUUCCCUAGAACCCUUUUCAGGCUUAGAAGCAAUGGUGUGAAUGUAGGAGUGCAGACACGUGGUACAGCUGCUCCUUAACCCUGCUUUUUACCUUCUGAGCCAAGGUAAAACGUUUUGAUUUCAUACUUAAGGGUAUGAAAAGGAGGAGGCAGGCUCUCUCUAGAGGGCCAGAGAGUAAAUAGUUUAGGCUUCACGGCCUGAAAAUUCUCUGUGAGCUAUUUCUUCUACAAUGCUUGAAAAUGUAAAAUUCGUUCUUGACUUGCAGUAUAGAACAGAGGGGCCGAACCUGUUGGCUGGCUGUAGUCUGCUGACCCCUGGUCUAAAAACACCUAAUUUAGGCUGCCCGGGGGACUCAGUGGUUGAGUGUCUGCCUCCGGCUCCAGGGCCUGAUCCUGGAGUCCCGGGAUUGAGUCCCACAUCGGGCUCCCUGCAUGGAGCCUGCUUCUCCCUCUGCCUGUGUCUCUGCCUCUCUCUCUCUCUGCGUCUCUUAAAUAAAACAAACAAACAAACAAAUAAAUAAAUAAAU
ensembl:lncRNA